rnacentral:rRNA from 1 species
UACGUAGGGCGCAAGCGUUGUCCGGAAUUAUUGGGCGUAAAGAGCUCGUAGGCGGUUUGUCACGUCGGAUGUGAAAGCCCGGGGCUUAACCCCGGGUCUGCAUUCGAUACGGGCAGACUGGAGUGUGGUAGGGGAGAUCGGAAUUCCUGGUGUAGCGGUGAAAUGCGCAGAUAUCAGGAGGAACACCGGUGGCGAAGGCGGAUCUCUGGGCCAUUACUGACGCUGAGGAGCGAAAGCGUGGGGAGCGAACGGG